rnacentral:ncRNA from 1 species
GGUUCGGGAGCAGACCGGUGGGACGGGCUGCAUGUAUGGAACCUGCCCCCGGUUUCGCAAGCGGCGAUGCCCCGUGACCCCGACGGUGCGCG